UAAAAUUUUGGCAGCAUCUCCUUUGCAAAAUUGCAUAAAUGGGGGGGGGGAAGACAACAGUGUAUAAACAUAUAUCAUGACAAAAACAUACCAAGGAUUAUUAAUCGGCUAGCAAAGGGAAGUUAAACAUACGACAUGAACUGAAUUAACCAGUGCGCACGACUAGCAAAAAAAAUAAACUUCUUUUGACAACAAGUUUCUAAUUAAAUCAUGGCUACGCCUGGGCAUGAGAGUGAAAGUGGACGUGCUGCUACUCCCCUCAUUCCCAACAUGUAUCAAGUACCUGCAUUGAGUAAUGCAAGAGUGAGAUGACACAUCUCAGCAAGUAAAAUAAUAUCAAACUGUUUAACCACAUAAGAAUAUUGUUUUACCACCACUUGAUUUCACAACCUUCUUAUUACAAAGGUGCAGCACGUAUACCACGUACAACACUCCUAGCUACCACACCUCGCAGGUAGAAACCACAAUAGUAACAUAGUAAUGUCACUCUUCAUAUAUAUACCUCAUGAGUGCAAAUGUCUGCAAAUGCAAGGAUGACUUCUGCCUUCAUACCUCUAAGGAUAUGAAGCCGCAUCGUACCCCUCCUCGGGCAACGUACGAUGCUAAAAAAUGUACCGGUACGGUCGGACCAUAAGAUCACGACAUAACUUCAAAAUGCAAGAUGGAUGAUGCGAUGAGCAUGUCAUGCCUACAACACUUCAUAUAACGUGAUUCAAAAAAAAUACUUCAACUUCAUCCAAGAUGUGAAUCAACCACAUAUAUCAUUACCAAAUUAUGAUCAUCCACAAUAUUAGACAAUUGAGAAUUAAUACUUCCAAACAAAUAAACUUCUUCAUAGAAUUCAAUGAUUAACAUAAUUAAAACUUAUGCAUACUCAAUGUCAGGGAAUAGGAUGCAACCCAAACGGUAGCAACCACCACUGUAUUUACUUGCCUUUACCGGAAGUUUGGGCAGAUCCCUAAGUACGAUCCGGAAGUCCACCACCUGUUUUUGACACACAACUUAGUGCACCAAUUUCACAUAACCCGGCUCAUAAACGACGCCGCACCUACGCACAAACUCAAACCCCGCCGCGGGUUACAUCUCUCCCCACACCCACCAAACUGCAGCGGCGCUGCUUAAUAAUUUCAUAACUUCAAAAUUAUGACAGCAUUGGUAACAACCAAAAACUCCAGAGGCAUCUACAUAAAAUUUCCCACAAGUUUUGUAUACAAUUUAUAAUUAAAUUCCAACAUCUAAUUAGCCCAAAACAGUUCACAAGAUGAACCCUGUAAUCUGUUUUUUUCUCUUUUGGACAGCGACAUACCCGGAUUCAAACAGCGAUAUCUUUUAAAAUAUAAUUCCAAUUCAAGCGCAUAAGUACUCAUUGGAAAGAUAAGACAAAGCCAUACAUGAUUAUCAUACUGGUUAGCACUAAUUAACCACGAAAAAUUCCCAGAAAUUGCUAAUACUACUGCUGUUCACCCACCUGAAAAAUCUGUUUGUUUGGACAGCAACAUACCCGGAUUCAAACAGCGAUAUCUUUUAAAAUAUAAUUCCAAAUCAAGCACAUAAGUACUCAUUGGAAAGAUAAGACAAAGCCCUACAUGAUUAUAAUACUGGUUAAUACUAAUUACCCACGAAAAAUUCCCAGAAACUGCUAAUACUACUGCUGUUCACCCACCUGAAAAAUCUGUUUGUUUGGACAGCAACAUACCCGGAUUCAAACAGCGAUAUCUUUUAAAAUAUAAUUCCAAAUCAAGCACAUAAGUACUCAUUGGAAAGAUAAAACAAAGCCCUACAUGAUUAUAAUACUGGUUAAUACUAAUUACCCACGAAAAAUUCCCAGAAACUGCUAAUACUACUGCUGUUCACCCACCUGAAAAAUCUGUUUGUUUGGACAGCAACAUACCCGGAUUCAAACAGCGAUAUCUUUUAAAAUAUAAUUCCAAAUCAAGCACAUAAGUACUCAUUGGAAAGAUAAGACAAAGCCCUACAUGAUUAUAAUACUGGUUAAUACUAAUUACCCACGAAAAAUUCCCAGAAACUGCUAAUACUACUGCUGUUCAUCCACCUCAAAAAUCUGUUUUUUUGGACAGCAACAUACCCGGAUUCAAACAACGAUAUCUCCUAAAUUAUAACUCCGAAUCGAGCGCAUAAGUACUCGUUGGAAAGGUAUGACAAAGCUCUACAUGAUUAUCCCACUGAUUCCCACUAAUUACCCCACGAAAAUUCCCAGAAAUCCCUAGAACUACUGCUGUUCACCCACUCACAAAAUUCCUGGACAGCACCUCUACCGAUUCGCAAAGAUAAACACAUAAUCCAAUUGAUUGCAGCACAAAAACAACAAAAGUUAAUCACAAAUUCACCUUAGGUUCUUCCCUUCCUCCUUCCUUCUUCCUCCCUCCAAACUCCAAUUGAGAUCGCAGCCACACGACGGAGAACCACACGGGAGGGCUGCACCUUGGAGGAGGGGGAGAAAUGGGGGGGCUAGGGUUUUGGGUGGUGAGGGCUGCAAAGAUUUGAGGAGGAAGAAGAUGGGAGAGGGGGG
rnacentral:lncRNA from 1 species